rnacentral:rRNA from 1 species
UGAGGGAUAUUGGUCAAUGGGCGCAAGCCUGAACCAGCGACGCCGCGUGGGUGAAGAAGGUCUUCGGAUCGUAAAGCCCUUUUCCCACUGAAGAGGAAGGACGGUAGGUGGGGAAGAAGUCUCGGCUAACUACGUGCCAGCAGCCGCGGUAAAACGUAGGAGACAAGCGUUAUCCGGAGUUACUGGGCGUAAAGGGCGUGCAGGUGGCGUCUUAAGUCUGUUGUGAAAGCGCCUGGCUUAACCGGGCGAGGCCAAUGGAGACUGAGAGGCUGGAGGCCGGCGGAGGGGUGUGGAAUUCCGGGUGGAGUGGUGAAAUGCGUAGAGAUCCGGAGGAACACCAGAGGCGAAGGCGGCACUCUAAGCCGUACCUGACACUGAGACGCGACAGCACGGGGAGCAAACG